GACGUAGGGCGCGAGCGUUGUCCGGAUUUAUUGGGCGUAAAGAGCUCGUAGGCGGCUUGUCGCGUCGACUGUGAAAACCCGUGGCUCAACCAUGUGGUCUGCAGUCGAUACGGGCAGGCUAGAAUUCGGUAGGGGAGAAUGGAAUUCCCGGUGUAGUGGUGGAAUGCGUAGAUAUCGGGAGGAACACCGGUGGCGAAGGCGGAUCUCUGGGCCUUACCUGACGCUCAGGCGCGAAAGCCAGGGGAGCAAACGGGG
rnacentral:rRNA from 1 species